ACACGUAGGAGGCGAACGGUUAUCCGGAUUUACUGGGCGUAAAGCGCGUGUAGGUGGUUCUGUAAGUAGGGCGUGAAAGCUCCUGGCUCAACUGGGAGAGGCCGUUCUAAACUACAGAACUAGAGGAUGGUAGAGGGAGGUGGAAUUCCAGGUGUAGCGGUGGAAUGCGCAGAUAUCUGGAGGAACACCAGUGGCGAAGGCGGCCUCCUGGACCAUUCCUGACACUCAGACGCGAAAGCUAGGGUAGC
rnacentral:rRNA from 1 species